UAAAAUCUAAAAAACAACUUUUGGCAACGGAUCUCUUGGUUCUCCCAUCGAUGAAAAACGCAGCGAAUUGCGAUAAGUAAUGUGAAUUGCAAAAUUGAAUCAUCGAAUCUUUGAACGCUCCUUGCGCUCCUUGCAGAUCUAAUCUGGGAAGCAUGCCUAAUUGAG
rnacentral:rRNA from 1 species